AUUGAACGCUGGCGGCAGGCCUAACACAUGCAAGUCGAGCGGAUGAAGGGAGCUUGCUCCUGGAUUCAGCGGCGGACGGGUGAGUAAUGCCUAGGAAUCUGCCUGGUCGUGGGGGAUAACGUCCGGAAACGGGCGCUAAUACGGCAUACGUCCUGAGGGAGAAAGAGGGGGAUCUUCGGACCUCUCGCUAUCAGAUGAGCUUAGGUCGGAUUAGCUAGUUGGUGGGGUAACGGCCUCUCAAGGCGACGAUCCGUAACUGGUCUGAGAGGAUGAUCAGGCACACUGGAACUGAGACACGGUCCAGACUCCUACGGGAGGCAGCAGUGGGGAAUAUUGGACGAUGGGCGAAAGCCUGAUCCAGCCAUGCCGCGUGUGUGAAGAAGGUCUUCGGAGUGUAAAGCACUUUAAGUUGGGAGGAAGGGCAGUAAGUUAAUACCUUGCUGUUUUGACGUUACCAACAGAAUAAGCACCGGCUAACUUCGUG
rnacentral:rRNA from 1 species